AUUUAGAUUUAAGCAUAAAAGUGAUUUGUUGUGUUUUUUUUUUUGUUGUGUUUAGUUUUGUUUUGUUUUUUAUAGUUAAGUAAAAAGUUAAGUUUAUACAAAGGCGAUGGAACCAAGCACGUUUUCGUAUCUGUACUCUAAUACUCUGUACUCUGUACUCUGUACUCUGGACUCUGUACAGUCCAAUCCACAUUCUCAAUUACAUUACAUUCCCCCCGACGACAAAAGAAGAUGACUUUCAAGGUAGUCGCUCGCAAUAAGUGGAAUCUGGUGUUCACUUAUCGAAAAAUC